rnacentral:misc_RNA from 1 species
GUUUGAGCGACGGAUUCUCGACAACGAGUCCGAAAGAAAGGGAACAGGGUAUCUAUCUCGGAUUUAUAUACUCUUAAGUUAUAGUCUCUGUGUAAGAUCACCGUUGUCACCCCUUCGACGGAUUCUCGAUAACGAGUCCGAAAGAAAGGGAACAGGGUAUCUAUCUCGGAUUUGUAUACUCUUAAGUUAUGGUCUCUGUGUAAGAUCACCGUUGUCACCCCUUCGACGGAUCCUCGACAACGAGUCCGAAAGAAAGGGAACAGGGCAUCUAUCUCGGAUUUAUAUACUCUUAAGUUAUGGUCUCUGUGUAAGAUCACCGUUGUCACCCCUUCGACGGAUCCUCGACAACGAGUCCGAAAGAAAGGGAACAGGGCAUCUAUCUCGGAUUUAUAUACUCUUAAGUUAUGGUCUCUGUGUAAGAUCACCGUUGUCACCCCUUCGACGGAUUCUCGACAACGAGUCCGAAAGAAAGGGAACAGGGUAUCUAUCUCGGAUUUGUACACUCUUAAGUUAUGGUCUCUGUGUAAGAUCACCGUUGUCACCCCUUCGACGGAUCCUCGACAACGAGUCCGAAAGAAAGGGAACAGGGUAUCUAUCUCGGAUUUAUAUACUCUUAAGUUAUGGUCUCUGUGUAAGAUCACCGUUGUCACCCCUUCGACGGAUUCUCGACAACGAGUCCGAAAGAAAGGGAACAGGGUAUCUAUCUCGGAUUUGUAUACUCUUAAGUUAUAGUCUCUGUGUAAGAUCAUCGUUGUCACCCUUUGGGAGCUUUUGACUCGAAUACACUCUUUUCCGCUGUUGUAUCCAGGGCUUGGAAGCCGCCGAUCUCUCCGUUCCCUCAAGGUCCGGUGUCAGUCGUCGUCGCAGGAAGUUGACGGCAGUGUUCAAGUACCGAUUUCCCUACUGUCGGAUGGUUUCAUUGCACUUUAUGCACAGGCGGUGGUUGUAAUCAACGUUUCGCUUGCCAACUUUUAUCUCCGUUGUAAACAUCCUGGUGUGCCCUGGAAAGGGCGGCACUUGGCUGUUUACUGACGUUCUCAUACGUCCACCAUACUUUGUUCUUUAAGGGCCGUCCUGACGCGUGAGAAUGCUUCUUUCAUCAAGCGGUAGAUGCGCUUGAGGGGUACUGAAAGCUCGUGUCGUUGCCUUCCUCUGGUUCCAUGCCAAGUGCCGUACCUCAUAUUCACAGGCCUCUUCUGGGCGAUGCCCUCGGCGAGUCCUUCGUCCGCUGCACGCACAAGCGAAUGCUGUUCUAUUCGACAGUGGAUCUAUGGACGGUGAACUUGUCGAUCAUGAAAAAAGUCCGAGAAAGAAAAUCCAAACUGGAGAACAAGAUGAGAAAUUUCCAUGGUUCCACGUUCCUUCCCUGCGAAGCGGUGACGCACUCUCCGCGGAAAACGACCGCUCCGAUGAACAACGUCCGAGCCCAUUACCGUUUUCCAUACAAACAGAAGGGACGGAAACAUCUGAGAGCGUUUACGGUCAGAGGUACCAUGCUGCUGUCGAAUGCUGGCUUCUCGUCGUUAACAACGAGAGGAGGAUUUGUCUAUGGAGAGGAAUCGACGAAUUCGUGAGACAAGUUUAGUGAAAUAUGGGCUUGGCGUUGAGCGCAACUCGUCAUGGGCCAACUUAGAGUUUUCUUCUUCGUCGAUCCAGCGGCGCGCAUUGGCUGCGCCAACGACUUGGCAUGACACAGAGGUGGAAAACGUGCAGAACGCGUUAUUUAAGCGUACCAAACGGGAGUAAACAGGAAGAGUGGAGGCUUCCACGCA